GACGAACGCUGGCGGCGUGCUUAACACAUGCCAGUCGAACGGAAAGGCCCUGCUUUUGUGGGGUGCUCGAGUGGCGAACGGGUGAGUAACACGUGAGUAACCUGCCCUUGACUUUGGGAUAACUUCAGGAAACUGGGGCUAAUACCGGAUAGGAGCUCCUGCUGCAUGGUGGGGGUUGGAAAGUUUCGGCGGUUGGGGAUGGACUCGCGGCUUAUCAGCUUGUUGGUGGGGUAGUGGCUUACCAAGGCUUUGACGGGUAGCCGGCCUGAGAGGGUGACCGGCCACAUUGGGACUGAGAGACGGACCAGACUCCUACGGGAGGCAGCAGUGGGGAAUAUUGCACAAUGGGCGGAAGCCUGAUGCAGCAACGCCGCGUGCGGGAUGACGGCCUUCGGGGUGUAAACCGCUUUCGCCUGUGACGAAGCGUGAGUGACGGUAAUGGGUAAAGAAGCACCGGCUAACUACGUG
rnacentral:rRNA from 1 species